GCACAAGCAGCGGUAGCGUGUGGUUUAAUUCGUUGCUACACGAAGAACCUUACCUGGGUUUGACAUAUAGGUUGUAGGGAACUGAAAAGGGACCGGACCCUUCGGGGAGCCUAUACAGGUGUUGCAUGGCUGUCGUCAGCUCGUGUCGUGAGAUGUUCGGUUAAGUCCGCUAACGAGCGCAACCCUUCGUCGUAUGUUAUAUGUGUCAUACGAGACUGCCGGUAAAAAGCCGGAGGAAGGUGAGGAUGAUGUCAAGUCAGCAUGACCUUUAUAUCCAGGGCUACACACACGCUACAAUGGUCUGUACAAUGGGUAGCCAAGCCGCGAGGUGGAGCGAAUCCCAGAAAGCCGGUCUCAGUUCGGAUUGGGGUCUGCAACUCGACCCCAUGAAGUCGGAGUCGCUAGUAAUCGCAGAUCAGCAACGCUGCGGUGAAUACGUUCCCGGGCCUU
rnacentral:rRNA from 1 species